rnacentral:rRNA from 1 species
CGCUGGCGGCGUGCCUAAUACAUGCAAGUCGAGCGGAAGUUGAAGAGCUUGCUCUUCAACUUUAGCGGCGGACGGGUGAGUAACACGUGGGCAACCUGCCCUGCAGAUCGGGAUAACUCCGGGAAACCGGUGCUAAUACCGAAUAGUUUUGGGUCCCUCCUGGGACCCAACGGAAAGACGGUUUCGGCUGUCACUGCAGGAUGGGCCCGCGGCGCAUUAGCUAGUUGGUGGGGUAACGGCCCACCAAGGCCACGAUGCGUAGCCGACCUGACGAGGGCGAUCGGCCACACUGGGACUGAGACACGGCCCAG